GUCCAGCUAGCUCAGUCAGUAGAGCAUGGGACUUUUAAUCCCAGGGUCCUGGGUUCAUGCCCCACGUUGGGCA